CCUACGGGAGGCAGCAGUGGGGAAUAUUGCACAAUGGGGGAAACCCUGAUGCAGCAACGCCGCGUGAGUGACGAAGUAUUUCGGUAUGUAAAGCUCUAUCAGCAGGGAAGAAGAAAGACGGUACCUGACUAAGAAGCCCCGGCUAACUACGUGACAGCAGCCGCGGUCAUACGUAGGGGGCAAGCGUUAUCCGGAUUUACUGGGUGUAAAGGGAGCGUAGACGGCUGUGCAAGUCUGAAGUGAAAGCCUGUGGCUCAACCGCGGAACUGCUUUGGAAACUGUAUAGCUUGAGUACUGGAGAGGCAUGCGGAAGUCGUAGUGGAGCGGUGAAAUGCGUAGAUAUUAGGAGGAACACCAGUAGCGAAGGCGGCCGGCUGGACAGAAACUGACGUUGAGGCUCGAAAGCGUGGGGAGCAAACAGGAUUAGAUACCCGGGUAGUC
rnacentral:rRNA from 1 species